GACCUUGGGUACUGCAGGCGCAUUAGGACGGAGGAGGUCAUGAGGGCUUUGCGUAGGAUGAGUAGGGUCGAGCGAUCGGGCCUGACGAGAUCCCGGUGGAGUUCUAGAAGUGCAUGGGUAGGUCAGGAGUGGAAUGGCUCUCCAGGUUGUUCAAUGCGAUCUUCAGGACCAGAAGGAUGCCGGAUGAGUGGAGGUGGAGUACAGUGGUGCCCUUGUACAAGAACAAAGGGGACAUCCAGUGCUGCAACAACUAUAGGGGUAUCAAAUUAAUNNNNNNNCUUUCUUAAGGAGUACAGUGGUGCCCUUGUACAAGAACAAAGGGGACAUCCAGUGCUGCGACAACUAUAGGGGUGUCAAAUUAAUAAGUCACACCAUGAAGGUGUGGGAGCGGGUGAUCGAGGCAAGGGUGAGG
rnacentral:lncRNA from 1 species